rnacentral:rRNA from 1 species
GACGAACGCUGGCGGCGUGCUUAACACAUGCAAGUCGAACGGAAAGGCCCUGCUUUUGUGGUGUGCUCGAGUGGCGAACGGGUGAGUAACACGUGAGUAACCUGCCCUUGACUUUGGGAUAACUUCAGGAAACUGGGGCUAAUACCGGAUAGGAGCUCCUGCUGCAUGGUGGGGGUUGGAAAGUUUCGGCGGUUGGGGAUGGACUCGCGGCUUAUCAGCUUGUUGGUGGGGUAGUGGCUUACCAAGGCUUUGACGGGUAGCCGGCCUGAGAGGGUGACCGGCAACAUUGGGACUGCGAUUCGGCACGGACUCCUACAGGAGGCAGCAGUGGGGAAUAUUGAACAAUGGGCGGCCGCCUGAUGCCGCAACGCCGCGAGCGGGAUGAAGGCCUUCGGGUUGUCAACCGCUUUCGCCUGUAACGAAGCGUGCGUGACGGUAAUGGGUCAAGAAGCACCGGCUAACUACGUG